GAGCGCGAAAGGGGGGCAACUCCCAAGUAGAGCGGCGAACGGGUGAGUAACGCGUGGGUAAUUUACCUCCAAGUGGGGAACAACACCGGGAAACUGGUGCUAAUACCGCAUAACAUCCUUGGGUCGUAAGAUUUGAGGAUCAAAGCUGGGGACCGCAAGGCCUAGCGCUAGGAGAGGAGCCCGCGUCCGAUUAGCUAGUUGGCGGGGUAAUGGCCCACCAAGGCUUCGAUCGGUAGCCGGCCUGAGAGGGCGGACGGCCACACUGGGACUGAGACACGGCCCAGACUCCUACGGGAGGCAGCAGUGGGGAAUUUUUCGCAAUGGGGGAAACCCUGACGAAGCAACGCCGCGUGGAGGAUGAAGGCCUUCGGGUUGUAAACUCCUGUCGACCGGGACGAAAGUAGUCCGACCUAACACGUCGGGCUAUCGACUGUACCGGUGGAGGAAGCCACGGCUAACUCUGUG
rnacentral:rRNA from 1 species